rnacentral:rRNA from 1 species
ACGGAAGGCAGCAGUGGGGAAUAUUGCACAAUGGGCGCAAGCCUGAUGCAGCGAUGCCGCGUGAGGGAAGAAGGUUUUCGGAUUGUAAACCUCUGUCAACAGGGACGAAAAUGACGGUACCUGUGAAGGAAGCUCCGGCUAACUACGUGCCAGCAGCCGCGGUAACACGUAAGGUGCGAGCGUUGUUCGGAAUCAUUGGGCGUAAAGGGCAUGUAGGCGGUCUGUCAAGCCAGGCGUGAAAGCCAGGGGCUCAACCCCUGAACUGCGCUUGGAACUGGCGGACUGGAGUCGCUGAGGGGGAACCGGAAUUCCUGGUGUAGGGGUGAAAUCUGUAGAUAUCAGGAAGAACACCGAUGGCGAAGGCAGGUUUCCAGCAGACGACUGACGCUGAGGUGCGAAGGUGCGGGGAGCAAACAGGAUUAGAUACCCUGGUA